rnacentral:lncRNA from 1 species
UUUAGGAUACUUAUGAUGUUGGCCUGACUAAUUAAUUUGCUACUUUGCUUUCUUAAUGAAUUCAGCCCUUUGUUAAGAGAAUUGCAAUCUCCGUUACUCGGAACAUCCAAAGAGAGAAACAAGGUCUAAUUGAAGAACAAGAAAGGUACAACUUAUUAAUAGGCCGGGCAUGAUCCAUGUUAAACCUCACAUUAUGGAGCAAUUAGGUUCAUCUGCAUAGCCCAUGCUAGCAAUAAAAACAUGUUGGCUUUGACAACAAUUCUUCGGAUCUGGCUUUGGCUUUUCAUCACCUUUGCCCUUUUCCUUUACUUCUUCCACGCUUACAAGAGUCGCAUACCCAAGCUUCUUCCUCAGACAGCAGGUCAAGCUAGCUGAAUCAACUCCGUCUCCAAUCACCACAACCCGAUCCUUUUCAGCUCCUUCUAUAGCCACUGAGAUCACACCUGUCACAUAAUCACAAAAGCCCAAAAAUGGAUCGACUGGGACUAUGAAUAAAUGAUUUGAAAUAACAAGCCUUUAUACUUUCUGUGAACUUCUUGUGGAAAGAAAAAUAGUGUUGAAAUGUGUAUCAUACCUUCUUCAACUGCAGCAAUCUUCAUGGCUUUGGUUCUGCAUUUGUCACAGUUCAUUUGCACUUUCACAACUAUCUUUUGCUACACCAUCACACAAGGAACAUAUCCAAAUCUGUUAUAGCUAUAAUUUCAUAUGCUUCUUUUUGGAUCCAGCUAGAACAGAUUAAGCUACACAAUAAACAAAAAGCAUCAAUGGAGUUCCAGAUCAAAAGGCUCACCUUCAUGUUUUGCACUAGGCGAACACAAGGCAACUUUUUUGAAUCUCUGACUGAAUCUCUGUGAACUUAAUUGGCAAUGAUGCCGAAGGGGAAGACUGACUUCCUCUUAUAUAUGAGAGUUUCAGGGCAAGCUUCUUCUGUUUAACUUCGAAUACAGCCAGAUCUAUUCAUAAUAAAUUUUGACAUUUAGACAGUGAAUCUGACCAUCUCAACACUGCAGUUCUAUAGACUAAGUCAAUAUUCAUCCAGCAUGUGCAAGUAAUUUUCAAGGCUGUUUUGUGGUAUGUUCUUACCUGAUUAAUUUAGUCCCCGCCAGCUUGCAAUUCAUGAAAAUUCAAUGCCCACCAGUGACUUUUAUCAAGAAAAUCAAACUUACAAGAAGCAAAAUUAGACUCGGUGACUUUUUUUUAAGUUUUUUAACACUUAAAAUUUUUUAUCAUUUAAAUCUUAGAAAUGUUGAAAAUAUUUUCUAAAAUCAAAAUACCAAACGUACUCUUCAUUGAAUUUCUUUAACAAUUGUAUAUUUAUGCAAAUCAUAUUGUACAUUUAUGCAGCAAAUUGUCUCGGGCUAUGUUUGAUUUAUGGAAAAUUUAAGAGAAAUAUGCAAGAGAAAGAAAAUAAAUAAAUAAAUAAAUAAAAAAGAAAAAAAUGAAAGAAAAUAAAAAAUAAAUUUAAAGUUAAUAAAUUAUUUUUAUAUGUUACUCAAAACUUAUUUAAUUUAUUUUAAUUUUUCUAUAUAAAGAAUAAAUAAUUUGAAAAUAUAUAAAUUUUUAACUAAUUUUAAUUAUAUUCGAUCUUCUUUCCUAUUUUUCAUAAUAAAACAAAAUAUGAGAAAAUCAUUUUACUUUAUUUUUUUUUUCUUAAUUUCUUUGAUACUUUCAAAACCCAAAGAUAACCAAGUUUUACAUUUUUUCUUCAGUCAAUUUUUUUUUUAAAAAAAUAAGUAAUAAGUAAAAGAAAAAUUAAAAACAAACAUUUAAAAUAUUCUAAAAGCAAAUUGUAUUCGGUAUUAAACUAAAAAAACAAGCAUCAUAUUAAUCUUCUCUUUUAUUAGUUGUAUGUUGACAAGGCUACUCUUCUUUUCAUGAUUUUAAUUAGUUUAAUAUAUGCUUUUAGAAUUACUAAUGGGUGGGUUGAUGGAGUUGUUAAAAGACACUUAAGGUGAGGUGCUUCUAGAAAAAACGGAUCCGACUUAUGUUUUUCUUUUGUUUUUAAAAACCGAUGAAAACAACUCCUACUUGUUUUCUAAAUUUUUUUCUCUAUUUCACUUUGUUUUUAAAAAUUAUUUCUAGAAAACAACAACCAAGUAGUGUUAAAAUUUUUAAAACAGUUUUUUGUUUUUAAAAAUUGAAAAUUAUUUUUAAACCACACGACCAAACAGGCUCUACAUGACGCAAAUUUACUAUUUAAUUUUAGUAGUUAAAAGAUUCUUAUUUUUGACAAAGAAAGGAAAAGUAGAGAAUAGUCUUAGAACUUUAAGAUGAUUCAGAAUUAGGGAUGAUGAAAUGGAAUCAGUCUUGAUAUGUAUCAAGAACAUCAACAUUAAAUUUGAAAAUAUUAACAAAUAAUUGCAAACAAUAAUGUAGAAAUAUGAGACAAACAAAUGGUUAUAGUUUUGUGACUUCGAUUCUUUUUCGUCUAACCUGAAAAGCUCGUGGUGCUAUAUAUAUGAUGAAACUAAAAUUAUGAGACUUUUUGGGGGGUUUGUGGUGGUAGCAAAGGGGUCGGGCCUAUGUAGGGGCUUGCCCUUGUAGUAUAUACAUGUGUAUAUGUGUGAUGAUAUAUAGUCUUAAGGUUAUGAUAAUUAUGCUUUUAUCAUAGUCGCCCUAAACUCUCCCCUCUUGUACCAAUUUUUAACAUAGUGGAUCAUCUUCUUCUCUUCCUAUAAUGUUUUUCGUCUAGGGUUUUUCACAUAAAUCUAUAUAUUCUUUUUUUUUUUUUUUAUUGCCUAUUCUCAUUUGCACUUUGACAAUUAUCCUCUGCUGCACCAUCAUGCAAGGAACAUAUCCAAAUCUGUUGUAGCUAUAAUUUCAUAUGCUUCUUUUUGGAUCCAGCUAGAACAGCUUAAGCUACACAAUAAACAAAAAGCAUCAAUGGAGUUCCAGAUCAAAAGGCUCACCUUCAUGUUUUUCACUAGGCGAACACAAGGCAGCCUUUUUGAGUCUCUGACUGAAUCUCUAUCAACUCAAUUGGCAAUGAUGAAGAAGGGAAGAGACCGACUUCCUAAAUAUGAGAGGUUCAGGGCAAAAUUCUUCUGUUUGACUUCGAAUACAACCAGAUCUAUACAAUAACAACAACUGAGAUUAGAUGAAUUGUAUUUAACCAUCUCAACGCUGCGGUCUAUAGACCAAGUCAAAUAUUAAUCCAGCAUGCAGCAUGUGCAAGGAAUUUUUAAGCCUAUUAUUGGUAUGUUCUUGAUUUAUUCGGCGCCAGCUUGCAAUUCAUGAAAACUCAAUGGCCAAUGACUUUUAUCAAGAAAAUCAAACUUACCAGAACCUAAAUUAAUUGAACUUCUUUAACUACCAAAAUCUUUUGCAUAUUUCUGCAAUCCAUCUUCUACAUUUGUAGAGCGGAUUCUUUUUUUAUUUUCAGAAAAUUUAAGGAAAAGAAAAUAAAAAAGAAAAGAAUAAGUAAAAUAAAAAAUAGAUUUAAAGUUGAUAAAUUAUUUUUAUAUAUUAUUUUAAAUUCAUUUCAUUUAUUUUAAUUUUCCCACAUAAAAAAAUAUUUUGAAAAUAUAUAAAUUUAACUAAUUUUAGUUUUAUUUAAUCUUUUUUUCUAUUUUUAAUUUGAUAAUAAAAGAUGAAAAAAUCAUUUCCUUUAAUAUUUUUUUCUUAAUUCCUUUAGGCUAUGUUUGGUUCCCGGAAAGUACAAAGGAAAGAAAAAAAAUGCUAAGGAAAAUGAUUUUCUCAUGUUUGGUUGUCCUAUGAAAAAUAUCAAAGAAAAUCAAAUAUAAUUAAAACUAAUUAAAAACUUAUGUAUUUUUAAAUUAUUUAAUCUUUAUAUUGAUGAGUUAAAAUAAAUAAAAUGGGUUUGAAGUAACAAAAAAAAUAAUUUAUCAACUUUUAAUCUAUUUUUUUAUUUUCCUUCACUUUUUCUUUCUUUCUACUUUUCCUUUGUAUUUUCUUUCUCUCGCAUUUUUCCUCAAAUUUUUCGGGAACCAAACAUAGUCUUAAUACUUUCAAGAACCAACAAAAACCUUAGCAAACCUUUUGAUGUCUCCAAAAGAGUUUCACAUCUUACUAGUAAUUUCUUAAAUCUCUAGAUGCGUAUUUUCAUGUAGAGCACAAAGGAGCACAGCUGCAUUUCGACUGAGGAAUGGCAACAGAGAACCAAUCAACAUAUGAACCUCCAAAUGUUGUGCUUUACUACACAGCCUACUAGAAAGCACUGUUUUUUUUUUUUUUUUAACUUAAAUCUAAAUAGAAAUUAAUUUAACUUAAUGUUAUAUACAUAUAUAAAUAUUAAGUUAUUUAUUUAUUUAAUAUUUUAUUUUUAUUAAACAUUAAGCAUUAAUAAGAUGAGAGUGUAGACCCCAUGGCUCGUUUUCAUUUUAUUUUCUGCAGCCCAUUCUUUGUGGAGGGCUCUCAGCAAGCCACAUGUCGACUCCUUGGUGGCUGGUAGGGAAUCAGGUAGUGGAGUUAAGGGACCAAUCAGAAUUGGACACCUGUAAAGGACAUUCUGGAAAAACCUGUAGGCCAUUAUUUGGGAGGUGGUGUUUUCGUUGCUGCAGAGGAGGAAUGGAGGAGAGAGAGGAUAUUCUGGCAGAGAGGAGGAGGUGCAUUUGGAGACGGGUGCUGGGCAGGAGAUAUUUUCGGCAGAAGAUUCUUUCUUGAGGGGCAAGUUGAGACGAGGAGGAGAUAGGUGCGUUUUGGGACGUGUUGCUGUGGAGAUAUUUUGAGGGUGAGUUUCUUUCUUGGCCGCAAGAGAGCCAGACGGGGAGGGGAGAUUCUUUCUGGAAGGACAAGCUAGAGCUUAGAGAGGGAAGAUGCAGACUGGUUUCCUGGAGAUAGCUGAGAGGGAAAACAAGAAGAGAGGUGAGAGUUUGCAGCUUGCUGGGAACCAAGUGAUUUUGCUAAAAGGGUGACAUUCGGGUUUGAUCAUCUCCCGCUUUAGGUUUUUCACUUUUACAAUCAUACUUUACUCAUUGCUGAGGUUUGAAUGCUUGUUUUUUUUUACUACCUAAGAUGUUAAGCUUGUUUUUCAUUUCUGUUUGCCUGAUCUCUGUUUCUUCCCCCAUGAGUUGUAUGAUGAUUGUGUUAUCUGUUUGCAUUUUGAGACCAUUCAAACUUUCCCACCAGGUUUUUUUCUUAGCUUUUUUAUUUUCAUGAAAUGGAGUUGGGUUUAAUGGUAUUAUCCUCCCUUAUGCAUGCUCUGUUUUACUUCAUGGUGUCCUCUGUUUCUGGUUCUUCUUGGGUGAUUAGAUACCAUGUUUUGGGUUAAUUGUUUGAAUGAGGCUGUAUCUGAGAAGACUCAACGUCAGAGUUUUGGGAGAUAUUGUCAUGUUUGUGUGUUAGGUGAGUUGAAGGUUAUCCAGCAAGUAUGGCAUGAAGAAGAUCAGUUCUUAACAGGAUGUGAUGUUGCUUAUCUUGAUGGAGAAGACGAAAAUAACAUAGUCCAGUGAAGAAAUCCAUUCCAAUGUCAUCUCUACUCCGAUCAGAUGUUGAAAGAGGAACCUCUCCAGAUAGAUGAUAGAACGCUUCCUUCUCAAAUGUCAGAAUUCUGGGUAUAGAAGGUACUCCCUGACGUAUGGCCAAGAAAUUGGCGAACAUGCUGCCUUUAAUUCAAGGAAAUGAGAUUCCCCUGACUUCGCAUUAUGAAAGGAUUAAAAGUCUGGUUAGCCAAGUUGAGACAGCUUAUGGAGUUUUAGAGAGAAGCUAAAGAGAGAAAGACUCUGAAGAGACCAGCGUUUGUGUUUUGUGUGUGUGUGGAGACCACGACUGCCCCCACCACUGCUAGCUGACUAGAGAAGCCUAGAGAGAGACUCGUCCUCGAAUCCACAAUUCUAGAGAAAGAGGGACGCCUCCGAAUCCUAAGGAGAGAAGGAAAGAAGCUGAGUCGAGUUCUUGUUUUUGGGCUUGGUGUUUUCAAACUGAUAGAGGGAGUUUAGGUGGGGUGUGAUUUGCUCAUCUGUUGCUGUCUUUGGAUGAGUUGAAGAUCGGGAUCAGUUUGUUGGAAUCCAUGACUGCAUCGGUUAAUAUAGUUGUAGGUUCUCAUGUAUGGGUUGAAGAUCCAGUGGAUGCAUGGAUUGAUGGUGAAGUUUCUAGGAUCAAUGGUCUUGAGGUUCAUGUUCAUACCACAAAAGGAAAAACAGUUGUUGCGAAUAUGUCUAAGGUGUUCCAAAGGAUACUGGAUCUCCACCUGGAGGUGUAGAUUACUUGACAAAGCUUUCAUAUUUGCAUGAACCUGGGGUUCAGCAAAACUUGGCCUCAAGCUAUGAACUUAAUGAGAUUUAUACGUACACUGGAAACAUCUUAAUUGCAAUAAAUCCUUUUCAAAGAUUGCCGCAUCUGUAUGACACCCACAUGAUGGAACAUGUUAUAAAUAUAGAAUAAUUGUAUUCUAUUUCUUGAUUAAAGAAUAUACAUCAGUGCCUUUAUAUAGGAGGCAUAUGUGUGCGGUACAAGUAAUAUGUGUGCAGUACAAGUAAAGUGUACUAUACAAGUAACCUAACUGGGCCUAAAGCCUAUAACAUAAUAUACUUUAACAACCCCCCUCAAAUUCAAGGUGGAUGUGAGACCAACUUGAGGUUGUCAACUAAAUCACGAGUGCGUCUCUUAGGUAGUGACUUGGUGAAGAUAUCUGCAAGUUGAUCUUUGGAGGAGAUGGAAAAAAGCUUAAGAGCACCAUGGACAAGAUGAUAACGGAUAAAAUGACAAUCAAUCUCGAUGUGUUUAGUCCGUUCAUGAAAGACAUCAUUGUGAGCAAUAUGAAUGGCACUCUGGUUGUCACAAUAAAGAGGAGUAGCAAAGGAGGUGGACACACCCAAAUCCUUAAGAAGCCAUCUUAGCCAAAGGAGCUCAUAUGUGGUAUCAGCAAAGGCAUGAUAUUCUGCUUCAGUACUGGAGCGGGCCACAAAAGUUUGUUUCUUACUUCUCCAAGAAAUCAAAGAAGAACCAAGGAGGAAGCAAUAACCUGUAGUGGACCUGCGAUCAGUAGGAUCUCCUGCCCAAUCAACAUCAGAGAAUGCAAAGAGUACAAGAGAAGACUGAGCUGAGUAGAAAAGGCCAUGAAAAAGGGUACCCUUCAGGUAUCGAAGAAUGCGCAGAACAGCAGCAUAGUGAGUUGAUCGUGGAGCAGACAAAUACUGGCUCACCUGAUGAACAGCAUAGGAGAUGUCUGGACGAGUAACUGUGAGAUAAACUAAGCUGCCAACCAAUCGUCUGUAAAGAGAAGGAUUAGACAAUGGUUUCCCCCCCCGAGGGUGUCAGAUGCGCAUUAAGUUCAACUGGAGUGUCAUCAGUCUUGCUGUCAGUGAGUCCAGCUUGAGACAACAGGUCAGAAGCAUACUUGGCUUGAGUAAUAUAAAGACCAUCUGUGGAAUGAGUAAUUUCAAGACCCAAGAAAUAGCUGAGAUGUCCAAGAUCUUUCAUUUCAAACUGCUGACUGAGAAAAUCCUUGAGUUCUUGAAUGCCACUAAGGUCAUCACCAGUUAUGAUCAUAUCAUCCACAUAUAGAAGAAGUAAAAUAGUGCCUUUAUCAGUACGACGAAGAAAUAAGGCAGAAUCAUAUGGACUGGCAGUGUAACCCAAGUGAAAAAUAAUGGAGCUAAACUUGGCAAACCAAGCUCGUGGGGCUUGUUUAAGACCAUAAAGUGCACGUCGAAGAUGACAAACCUUGUUUGAUUCAAUAGAGAGACCAAGAGGAGGUUGCAUAUAGACUUCUUCACUCAGAUCCCCAUUAAGGAAGGCAUUUUUAACAUCCAUCUGAAAAAGAUCCCAUUUACGAGCAGCAGCAACAGCUAAGAGAGCACGAACAGAUGAGAUACGAGCAAUUGGAGCAAAAGUCUCUUCAUAAUCAAUCCCAUACUCCUAUGUAAAACCUUUGGCAACAAGACGAGCCUUGUAGCGCUCAAUAGAUCCAUCAGAGCGAGUCUUGAUCUUAUAGAUCCACUUACAACCAACCACAGACUGUCCAGGAGGGAGAGUAACCAAGUCCCAAGUAUGGUUUUUGGUUAAUGCAUCAAGUUCCUCUUUCAUUGCAAUCUGCCAUAAAGGGUCAGUAGAAGCCUCACGAUAGGUUUGAGGCUCGUGAAGUGUAGCAAGGGCAGUGUAACAAUGAUAGUCAAGGAGGUGUGGAGGAAUGGAUCUUACCCGGGUUGAGUGGCGAGGUGGAAUGUCUUGUGGAGGAUCUUCAGGUAGAGCAGGAGCAGGGGACCCAGGCUCAAAGUGGGGUAGCUCGUCAUCAAUCUGUUCAUCUGCAACCUGUCUAGGAGAAGCAUCAAAGAUAUCUGGAGAGAAGUCCAAAGGAGGAUAAAAAGUAUUUGUAGAAGGAACAAGAGACUCAUCUAGAAAGAUUUCUAAAACAGAUGAGUUAGUCAAGGAAGAACGAAAGUGAGAGAGUUCAACAAACAAUCGGUGUUCCCAAAAGACAACAUUACGAGAAACACGAAGACGAUGAGAGAUAGGAUCAUAACACCUAUACCCCUUUUGAGUUUCGCCAUAACCAAGGAAACAACAGAGUCUAGAUCGAGGCUCAAGUUUGUUGUGCUCAUGAGGCUGAAGAAGAACGAAACAAGCAGAUCCAAAUGAGCGAAGGUGAUGAUAGUCAGGGGGUGACCCAAAGAGACGCUCAUACCGAGUCUGAUUAUGGAUGACAGCACUUGGAAUGCGGUUAAUUGCAUGAACAGCAUGAAGACUAGCUUCACCCCAAAAUGGGGCAGGAACUUUGGCAGAAAGAAGGAGAGCACGAACAGUGUCAAGAAUAUGACGAAGUUUUCUUUCGGCUCGACCAUUUUGCUGAGAGGUACCUGGACAAGUUAGAUGAUGUAUAGUGCCAUAGGAAUGUAACAGAGCUUGAAACGCAUAUUGAGUAUAUUCAAGAGCAUUAUCAGAUCGAAAGGUUUUGAUACUUUUGAAGAAUUGAGUUUCAACCAUUUUUGCAAAAUUGCUAUAUAUUGGUAAAAUUUCAGAACGAGAUUUCAUAGGAAAAAUCCAACUAUAACGAGAAUAAUUAUCAAUAAAAACAACAAAAUAUCGAGAUCCACCAAUACUAGCAACAGGAGAAGGUCCCCAAACAUCAGAAUGAAUUAACUCAAAAAUACUAUUAGAAAUGGAUUCACUGUUAUUAAAAGGCAAAGCUGGCUGUUUUCCUAACUGACAUGAAGUGUAAUCAAAAUUGUCUUUAGACACAGAACCCAACAGACCCCUAGACACUAAUUGUUGUACCCGAGAAGAUGGUGCAUGACCAAGACGAGAAUGCCAAAGUGCAAGAGAAGGUAAGGAAGAAACUGUAGCCGCUGCAUCAGCAACAGAAACAGGAGCAAUAGGUGGAAGAUGAAGAUUGUUCACUGGAAACAUACGUCCAACUCUAGGACCGGUCUCAAGCUCCUGCCCCGUCCUCGGAUCCUGCACAAUACACCCAAAAUAGUAAAAAAUAAGGCGAUAACCUAGUUCAGCUAAUUGUCCCAUAGAGCACAAAUUAUAGGAUAGGGCAGGUACGUGGAAGACUCCAAGAACAUAAAGAUUAGAGGUUGAAACAAAACCUAGACUAUUUCCAUGCAUGGUGGAACCAUCAGCUAUAUGAAUAUUUAGAGGAUGUGGUGCAGGGUCAAGGUUGGAGAACAGGGAUGAGUGAGGUGUCAUGUGAUUGCAGCAGGCAGAAUCAAAAAGCCAAGUUUGAGACUUACCAGGUAGAACAGAUAAGGCAGUGGAAAGAGAUGCAUUACCAGCCAUACGAACAGCUUGAGCUAUGAUCUCCUGUAGUUCAGUGGAGGAGAGGUUGAUAGUAGAUCCAGAAGACUGGGACUCAGUUGAGGUGGAAGCCGUUGGCGGAGUAGGCUCAGUAUUAGCAACAACAGCAGUAGAUUUGUUACGAUGGUAACAAGUCUCAAUGGUGUGGCCAGGACACUUGCAAUAGUUGCAGAACUUCUUGUUGGUCUGCUUGCGACGAUUGCUAGAGCCAGAAAAAUCACCUAAUUGCUGAGGUUGCUCUAUGAGUGGAGUAGAUGGAGUAAUAGCCAAAACAUUGAGCUUAUUCUGGGCUUGAAGGGUUGCAAGACGAGCUUCUUCUCUAACCAACUCAUUCACAGCAGUAUCAAGAGAGGGAGCAGGACUGCGAUUUAGCAGCUGACCACGAAUGGGCUCAAAGUCCUUGUGAAGUGACAUCAAGAAUUCAUAGAGGCGAAAUUCAUCUCUGAUGGAAGCAUAUUGCUGAGCAUCUUUUGAGCAUGCCCAAGUUGGAUCAGAAAGGUCAAUUUGGUCCCAAAUGAAGCGAAGCUGAUCAUAAUAGUCAUUGAUGGAUUGCCCCGGUUCUUGCCUGAGUUGAUGCAAUUCAACCACUAACUGAUAUUUCAUGGAUCCAUGAGUAGUGGAGUACCUUUUGGUCAACAUAUCCCAUGCAGAUUUUGCAUCUUCAAAGCUGCCCAAUAUAUUGGAAAUAGAGGGAAUGGAAGUGUUCCGGAUCCAUGUGAGGAUCAUGUGGUUAUGACUAUCCCAUUCAAUCAUGCGACUAAGAAAGGCAACAUCUUCUUCACUUGCUCCCUUGACAGGAAUACUCAUUGCACCAGUACAAUAAUGCCAGAACAUGCGACUCUUAAGAAAACUGUGCAUAGCUUGAGACCAGGAUAAGUAAUUUUUAUUCCCCUCCAAUACAGUAUUGAUGGGACGAGGAAGAAAAACAUCCUUUUUAUCCAUUUAGAGACACAAUAUGCAAAAAUCGACUGCAAAAAUGAAAUCUACACGAAAAACUAGGUAAGGAGAACCUAGACAGAAAAAGUCAAUUGGAAAAGUCAACGGUCAACGGAUGAAGAUGACGUGGAGAUGACGUCAGCAGAUCAGUGGAUGCUGACGCAGCUAGGGCUGACGUGGCAGAGAUGAUGAUGUUAGCAGACCAGUCCUCGGCGCGUGAGAGCACGUGGCAGCGCGUGAAGGCGCGUGAUCAGCGUUGUAGAAUCUUUGAGCGGUGCGUGGGGGCGCGUGCGGUCUCCGAUGGCAGCGAGGGUUCCAUGAAUGUGUAGAUCGGCGCUGGACAAUCUCAGUGGUACCUUAAAAAAUGAAAUCGGAGCAAUAUUCGCAGCGGUGAUGCAAAGAGCAGUGGUCUGUGCAGUGUGAAACUCCUUAACGACGACGGCUGCAGGUCCGGAACCCAAGGACGACGGCUGGAUGACGUCGGAGGUUCAACGGCAAGAGGCUGCGGCGGCAGUUGUGAUGGCGGAAGCGUUUAGUGAAAGAAAGGAAGUCACACUAAUGAAGACAAGACUGCUAAGAAAAGGUCAGAGCAGUGGCUCUGAUACCAUGUUAUAAAUAUAGAAUAAUUGUAUUCUAUUUCUUGAUUAAAGAAUAUACAUCAAUGCCUUUAUAUAGGAGGCAUAUGUGUGCGGUACAAGUAAAGUGUACUAUACAAGUAACCUAACUAGGCCUAAAGCCCAUAACAUAAUAUACUUUAACAUGAGUCUGUAUGACACCCACAUGAUGGAACAAUAUAAGGGAGCGGGUUUUGGGGAGCUCAGUCCUCAUGUGUUUGCUGUUGCAGAUGUUGCAUACAGGGCAAUGAUUAAUGAAGGAAAUGAGAUAGAUUCCUCAGUCAUCAAGGAUGAACAGUCCAGAUUCCAUCAUAACAAUGACGACCCCAUCAAACCAUACCACUCACCAAACCAUCCUUGCCUUCAUAUUUCUUUCAUACCCAUUUCUUCCACUACCUGUGAUUUUACUCUAACCCACUCCAUGCUCAUGAUCAUUCUCAUUUCCUCACAUCCUCAUUCAUACCCACCAUACCCACUACCGUUCAUACUCACCAUUUUUCCAUUUUCCUUAUCUAUCAUACCGCUUCUUCCCACCACCCGUUCCACCAAUAAUACUCACUCCCAACCCACUUCCAGUCUCUUUCCUUUCAUUUUCCAUGAACGUAAAUCCCAUGCAAAAUAUCACUCAUGUUUUAUUCCUCUUCUCAUCCUUUGUACUAACCAAAAACCCAAUCACCUGGACCACUUGCCCGACACCAUUCAACUUUGAUCCCUCCGUGUUACCAGUACCUCUUCCCCAUUCUCCUUGCCACACACUCCAACCUUAUACACCCAUUUUGAGACCGAAAUAUUCUCUUGUUUGAUGAUGGAGUUCUGCCCAAGAGGUGAUUUACUCACACUUAGGCAGAGGCAACCUGGGAAACAUUUUUCUGAGCAAGUUGUAAAGUUCUAUGUAGCAGAGGUUCUUCUUGCUUUUAAAUGCCUUCACAUGCUCGGGAUUGUUUAUCGUGACCUGGAACCAGAGAAUGUCCUUGUGAGGGAAGAUGGGCACAUUAUGCUUUUUGAUUUUGACCUCUCUCUCCGGCACACUGUCAGUCCGACACUGGUCAAGUCCCCUUCUUUUGGCACCAAAUCCUUACGAAAGGAUCCAGUAUAUGGUGUCCGACCUACAUGCAUUGAACCUUCUUAGAUUCAGUCAUCCUAUGUGGCCCCAACAACACGUUUUUCCCCUCUAUUAAGGAAAUUAUAUGUUAGUUAUUGUAUGAUUAUCUUGACAUAAUUAGCUGAUUGUAUAAGAGCAUAAUUAGCCUUAUAUUUCUGAUUCUGUAGCUAUAAUUUAGGAGAAGAUUAGAUCAAACAUGUGUAUAUAUAUACUACAUUCUGUUAAUGAGAAAAGUAUCCAAUUUGAAGCCAAUCUCUUUAUUCUUGUUAUGGUAUCAGAGCAAGAACAACAAACCACCAUGGCUGGCAGUCAGAAGGCUUCUGGAUCAGAAAACAAGACCAUCGAUCCUUCACAUCCCCUCUAUAUUCAUCAUUCAGAUCAACCAGGCCAUGUUUUGGUGCCCAUCAAAUUAAAUGGGGUCAACUAUCAAUCAUGGAGCAAAUCAGUUAUUCAUGCCCUUACUGCCAAGAAGAAGAUCGGCUUCGUCGACGGGACAAUUGAAGAACCAUCGCAGGAAGAUGAACCCUUUAUGUUUGAACAGUGGAAUCAAUGCAACAGCAUGAUACUUUCUUGGCUAACUCAUGUUGUUGAAUCGGACAUUGCUGAAGGAAUUAUCCAUGCUAAAACAGCACGCGAAGUGUGGGUUGAUUUACGCGACCAGUUUUCUCAAAAGAAUGCUCCAGCGGUUUUUCAAAUACAGAAAUCAAUCGCCACCAUGUCGCAAGGAACGAUGACAGUAGCUGCAUAUUUUACAAAGAUCAAAGCCUUAUGGGACGAGCUUGAGACAUACCGUUCCCCACUGACCUGCAACCAACGACAAGCACAUCUCGAGCAAAGGGAGGAAGACCGUCUUAUGCAAUUUCUAAUGGGUUUGAAUGAGUCAUAUAAGGCAGUGAGAUCCAAUAUUUUGAUGAUGUCGCCAUUGCCCAAUGUCCGUCAAGCAUACUCUUUAAUUGUCCAGGAAGAGAUGCAACGACAAGUUUCUUCUGAGCCAACCGAGAAUUUCUCAAUAGCUGCCGUAGUCCCGGGAAAAUGAGGUAAUCCAAGACAGAAAAUGUGUGACCAUUGUAACAGAUCUGGACAUACCAUAGAUGAAUGUCGGACUCUUAAAUUUCACUGUAAGUUCUGUGAUAAAAGAGGUCACACGGAGGAUAGAUGCCGACUGAAAAAUGGGAGCAAUAACAAAACGGGACAAUUCUGAGGACAACGUCCUUUUGGUCGUGGGAAUCAGCCCUCAGCAAACGUGACAGAAUCCCAGGAAAUGUCUGAUUCGACUUCUUCUAGUACAGUCCAGGGGUUCACUACAGAACAAAUACAACAGUUGGCUCAAGCAAUUCGUGCAUUAAAUCACAGUAAUUCCGGUAAUAUUGACGCAUAUGCAAAUGCUGCAGGUUUGAUUCCAUCAACUCUUGUGUCUGUUAAUUCUAGUAGUACAAGUUCUUGGAUUUUGGAUACAGGUGCCACGGAUCACAUCGUUUCCCACAUGUCUCUUUUCACUGAUCUCAAACCUUCUAAUGUCACAAUUGUUAAUUUACCAAAUGGUGCAGCAUCACCAAUAACACACACUGGCACCGUUAUUUUUUAUUCCCAAUUGACCCUUAAAGAUGUUUUAUGUGUCCCAUCCUUUAACUUGAAUUUAAUUUCGGCUAGCAAACUCGCAAAAGAUCAGAAUUGCUGCAUCAUAUUCUUUCCUGACUAUUGUAUUUUGCAGGACUUGGUUUCGGGGAAGAUGAUUGGCUCGGGUAAACAGCGUGGUGGUCUAUACUACAUGCAUCCAUCAACAAAUAAAUCGGUUNNNNNNNNNNNNNNNNNNNNNNNNNNNNNNNNNNNNNNNNNNNNNNNNNNNNNNNNNNNNNNNNNNNNNNNNNNNNNNNNNNNNNNNNNNNNNNNNNNNNNNNNNNNNNNNUCUAUACUACAUGCAUCCAUCAACAAAUAAAUCGGUUGUCUUUCAUGUUUCUCAACCGUCUGACUUAUGGCAUUUACGCCUGGGUCAUCCCUCUUUUUCUCGUUUUAAAUUAUUAUCACAUUUGCUUCCAGAUAUUCAUAAAGAAUUAGGAAAUCAUUGUCCAAUUUGCCCACAGGCUAAGCAGACACGCUUGCCCUUUCCCAAAAGUUCAAUAACUACAAAAUUUCCUUUUUCUCUUUUACAUUGUGAUGUCUGGGGUCCUCACAAAAUUCCUGCACAUACUGGUUCACGUUAUUUCCUUACAAUUGUUGACGAUUUUUCUCGUUGCACAUGGAUUUUCCUUAUGCAUCAUAAGUCAGAAACACAAUCUUUGUUAACUAAUUUUGUGCAAUUCGUCAAAACUCAAUUCCACAUAGAUGUUCAAACGGUAAGAAUGGAUAAUGGCACAUAAUUUAUUCCUCUUCGCAUCUUUCUUCAAAAUAAAGGAAUCGAACUUCAAACCUCUUGCAUUUACACUCCGCAACAAAAUGGAGUUGUAGAACGCAAACAUCGACACAUUUUAAAUGUUGCCCGUUCUCUCAUGUUUCAAUCAAAUGUCCCACUUGAGUUUUGGGGGGAAUGUGUUUUAACAGCCAUUUAUCUGAUAAACCGCAUUCCGACUCCAUUGCUCUCAAACAAAUCACCAUUCGAGGUCUUAUAUAAUCGGCCUCCUUCACUCACACAUUUGCGAGUUUUUGGUUGUGAAUGCUAUGUAAUGUUCACCCCAAACAGAAAUUUGACCCUCGGGCAUCUAUUUGUGUUUUUUUGGGGUAUCCACAUGGAAAAAAAGGCUAUAAAGUACUCGAUUUGCAAACACAAAAAAUAUCAGUCAGCCGAGAUGUAUUCUUUAGGGAAAAUAUUUUAUCUUUCCAUUCUAGUUCUUCUCAAUCUCUACAACUUUCACCUUCUCUUCCUUUACCGCUUCCCAUUUCUUUCGAUUCCACACCUCAGCCGAUAUCUCUUCCUCGUUUUUCUCCAAGUUCCACUCCUCCCUUGUCGCAUCACAAUCCUGUAUCAUCUCCACUUUCCUCUAAUACUGAUGUUCCCGAACCUUUAUCCCCAGAAUCAGUUGCGUCACCCUUACCUUGUUCUCCAUCUCCUUCUUCGCUUUCUUCCCCACCUUCAGUGCCCUCAGUACCCUCCAACACGUCAACCCCUUCCCCCACCCAUGAACCCCCUCUUCGACGUUCCACUCGUCAUAUUCAGCCUCAUGCCUGGCACCACGACUAUGCCAUGUCUACCCAGCUUAAUCAUUCUUCCACGCAAUCAAGUUCUCGUCAAGGUACAAGGUAUCCCCUCUCUUCUCACCUUUCUUUUUUUCGUUUUUCACCCCAUCACCGUGCUUUUUUAGCUCUUUUGACAGCCCAAACCGAACCUUCAUCCUUUGAACAAGCUGACUGUGAUCCACGUUGGCGCCAAGCCAUGUCCACCGAACUUCAGGCUUUAGAACGAAAUAACACUUAAGAGAUGGUCCCUCUUCCUCCGGGACACAAACCCAUUGGCUACCGCUGGGUGUACAAGAUCAAAUACCAUUCUGAUGGAACCAUUGAAUGCUAUAAAGCCCAUUUGGUUGCCAAGGGCUACACACAGGUCGCCAGUAUCGACUAUCAGGAAACCUUUUCUCCAACUGCCAAACUCACCACUCUUCGCUGUUUGCUGACUGUCGCAGCUUCCAGAAAUUGGUACAUCCAUCAGCUUGAUGUGCACAACGCAUUCCUUUAUGGCAAUUUACAAGAAGAGGUUUAUAUGACUCCACCUCCUAGUCUUCGCCGACAGGGGGAGAAUCUGGUAUGUCGGCUUCGCAAAUCUAUUUACGGUUUGAAACAGGCAUCACACAAUUGGUUCUCAACUUUUACAGCUACUGUUAAGUCUGCGGGUUACAUACAGUCCAAAGCAGAUUAUUCACUUUUUACUAAAUCCCAAGGUAACAAGUUCACUGCUAUUCUCAUUUAUGUUGAUGAUAUCCUAUUGACUGGUAAUGAUUUGCAUGAAAUCAAGAUGCUCAAGACUCAUCUGCUCAAGCGUUUUUUUUAUUAAAGACCUCGGUGAAUUGAAAUAUUUUUUGGGUAUAGAAUUCUCUCGCUCUAAAAAGGGAAUCUUUAUGUCUCAAAGAAAAUAUGCAUUAGAUAUUUUGCAAGACACAGGAUUGACAGGAGUGAAGCCCGAAAAAUUUCCGAUGGAGCAAAACUUGAAAUUGACUGAUGAAGAUGGCGAGUUACUUCAUGAUCCAAGUAGGUAUCGGAGACUGGUUGGCAGAUUAAUAUACUUGAUUGUAACCAGGCCUGACAUAGUGUAUUCAGUACGUACACUAAGUCAAUUCAUGAACACACCUCGGAAGCCGCACUGGGAAGCAGCAUUACGGGUCCUCCGAUAUAUUAAAGGAUCACCAGGUCAAGGUCUUUUUCUUCCAUCUGAAAAUAAUUUAACACUCAGCGCAUUUUGUGAUUCAGAUUGGGGAGGAUGUCGUAUGUCAAGACGUUCCGUUUCUGGUUAUUGUGUUUUCCUCGGAUCAUCACUCAUCUCUUGGAAAUCAAAAAAACAAACGAAUGUUUCACGUUCGUCAGCAGAAGCAGAGUACAGAGCAAUGGCGAAUACUUGCCUGGAAUUGACUUGGUUGAGGUACAUACUUAAAGAUUUGAAGGUUGAAUUGGACAAACCAGCACCAUUGUUUUGUGAUAAUCAAGCAGCUUUAUAUAUUGCGGCUAACCCAGUUUUUCACGAACGUACUAAACACAUUGAGAUUGAUUGUCAUAUAGUUCGAGAAAAACUUCAAGCUGGGGUAAUUCGUCCGUGUUAUGUUUCUACAAAAAUGCAGUUGGCGGACGUUUUUACAAAGGCACUUGGCAGGGAGCAGUUCGAAUUUUUGUGCACCAAGUUGGGAGUUCUUGAUUUGCACUCUCCAACUUGAGGGGGAGUAUUAAGGAAAUUAUAUGUUAGUUAUUGUAUGAUUAUCUUGACAUAAUUAGCUGAUUGUAUAGGAGCAUAAUUAGCCUUAUAUUUCUGAUUCUGUAGCUAUAAUUUAGGAGAAGAUUAGAUCAAACAUGUGUAUAUAUAUACUACAUUCUGUUAAUGAGAAAAGUAUCCAAUUUGAAGCCAAUCUCUUCAUUCUUGUUACCCUCGCCUAUUUUCAAGUAAAUCCAAAAAGGUCCGGAAACCCAAGAAUGAAAUUGGAAACUAAGUGAGCCCAUUGCCAGAGCUCAUUGCAGAGCCAACUGGGGCUCACCCGAUGUCAUUUUUGAAGGCGCACGAGUAUAUAUGCACCUGAAAUCAUCAAGGGUGAAGGUCAUGGCAGUGCAGAGGACUGGUGGACCUUUGGAAUUUUUUAAUAUGAGCUACUCUUUGGUAAGACUCCUUUUUAAAGGAUUCGGGACUCUGAACCCCUUGCAAGACUUUCAGUUGCUACACAAUGCUACCUUUUGCAACAAUGGAUAAUAGCAAGACGCCAAUGUGGAGGGGCUUAUCAGCAUGGCGCGCUUCUCAGUCGUGAUUCGGCCAUCAGGUCGCAUUUCUUGGUACUUCUGGAACGGAAACGAAAGUCGUCUAUAGUUAGUCCUUGUAGACAGGAGGGCUUCAUCAUAGUGUUUGAAUUUUGAUGAUGGGUUGAAUAAUCUGUUUGCAUUGUGUAGCUCUGCUGCUAGGGACCUCUUUUAUUCCUCAGAAAGUGAGUGGGAAUUAUAAAAAUUAUGUGAAGCGGAAGUUUCUGCAUCGGGUCUUCAGGUCCGCGUUUCAGGUCCUUGCUACACAGGCAAUGUUUCAGGCAAUGGAAGCCGAACACUCUAGAUUCAUCUCAUCUGCUGCUGCCCUGAACUGGGUCUUGAAGAAUGGUCUUGGACAUUUAUUGUAGGUGUAUCUACACAGCAAGUCUUGCAUCCGCUUUUGAUACCAAACUAAAGUGGGUAACCUUGGUGGAAUUUCAGCAAAGACACAGAUCCGAAUGGUUGACGGAUCAAGUUUAAAUCCAUUUGAGAACGAGAACAAAGACUAUGAUGUCACCCAUCCUAUUACAGCAGAGGAAGCGGUGUCGAAGGUCAAUUCAUCAUCGCAUGGAAAUUGGCUAAGGUGAUAUUACCAGGAGUUCUGGGUUUGAAGAUACAGCAUGAAAAUUUGAUUCACCUUUGGCUUCUGGAAGUUAUGGAGCCCAGACAAGUGUUCCUCAUAAUGGGUACGUCAAUGGGGUGGUGAAACAUGUGGAUGGCCAGCUCAUAUAGAAAGCUCAAGUGAUUCAGUUGAAGAUAGACUAUUGAUACAGAAAACAUAGUGAUACUCCGAGAUUCACACCUAUAUGGUCUGCAUUCUCCAUUUUUUUCAUUUAUGCAUGGACUGCAUAUGGCCGCCUUUGACCCACGUGCUAUUUCCCAUUUUACCAUCUUGUACUUUUUAAAAUAAUUUUCUAAAUAUUUUCCUUCAAAUAAAUUUCUGGGUUAUAUUUUCUAAAUAGUACCAACUCCAAGGUGACAUUUGUUUUUUUGGCUUGAUUCUAAAUAGAACUUAUAUUUAACUUAAUACUAAAUAGUGAUUAAUAGUAUUAAGUAUUAAGUUGUUUGUUUUUUUAAUAUUUUAUUUCUAUUAAGUAUUACGUUGUUUGUUUUUUUAUAUACUAAAAAUCAAUAUCUUAAUAUUUUAAUGUAUUAAAAAAAUAUAAAUUUAAAGUAUUUCUAAAAAGUUCAAAAUAAUAAAAUUGUUAUAAUAAAUAAUUUAUCAUUAUCAUUCUUACAAAAUAUAAUUAAUAUAUUUAUUUUUUAUAUAAUUAAAAUAAAAUAUUUAAACUUAAUAAUCUAAAAAACAAUAGAUUGAUAAAACCUGAAAAAUAAAUUUUGGAUAGAAAACAAUUUAUUAAGAAUUUUUUUUGUAAAUACGUAAUUAUUUAAAAACAAUUAAGAUGUUUUAAAACUUUAUUUGAGAGUGCUAUUAUCAACAAUGGAAAUAAUGAAUAAUAUUGAAAAAGUAAAUAAGUUUUUUUUUUUACUUUUACCUUCAUGAAGAAUAAUAACAAAAAAAAAAAAAACUAUUUUGUAUAUUUGAGAAUAAUUAAAAACUGUUCUUAAAAAUUAUUUUAAAAAAUUACUAUAUUUUAAAACAAUCUCAAAUUAAACACCCUUCUAUCCUUAACUACUAAACUAGGAAUCUCCAAUGUCUCUUUAUUUUUUUCGCCUUUUUGGAGCCGUAAUUAUUGUUUUUCAAUUUCUUUAGAUUGGAUUGCCAAGGUUACCAUCUUCAAUCUCAAAUUAAUUUAAUAACUUUAAAUUAUUUCAUCUUAAUGCAUCUUAGAUUCUUAAACCAAGGCCUUCAAAAUUUGGAAGAAACUUGACUAGGGCAAGCUAUUUCCAGGAUUACUUCCUAUCCGAGCCAAGGUUGGGACUAGCACGGAUUUGCAGCCAAAUAAGGACCUUAGGGUUUUACAAGGGUUUGACUCACAGAAUGUGCCAUUGCUACUGCCGGUGACCUUUUCUGCCAGAAAUCAUGAAUUUCAGGUUUCAAAACCUCCUGGGAGCUCCAUACAGAGGUGGAAACGUCGCCUCUUCGAACAAAACUCUCCUCAUCUCUUCCGUUGGCAACCGUAUCUCCGUCAUCGAUCUCCUAAAAUCCCAAACUCAAACUCUCCCUACAUAGUCCUCCUCCAACAUCGCUCGCAUCGUCAUCUCUCCUUACGGCAAUUUCCUCCUCGCUGUUGUAGAGAGCUACAAGGGAUGGGUGGGUAGGUUUGGGCAUCGGGUUGCAAUUGUAUUUGGUAAAGGUUUAAAAAAUUGGCUUUUUCUAAAUAGAAAAGGCCAAAUAUUUAGCUUUUUCUAUUUAGUUAAAAAUUUUAAAAAUUCAGUAAUAAGUCAUCAAAAAUUAAAAAAACAAACAACCUAAAUUCUAAAAGCAAAUUACUUUCAGUAAAAAACCAAAAAAACAAACGCCACUCAAGUCUUUUUUUCAUCCUUAGAGUUUUCAGGUCUUAAAAGUCUCAUUUUCAAUAAAAUUUUGCUACUAUUUUUCUUUCUGGCAAAUAACUUUCAUAACUCCUCUGAUUUUUUUUUAAUCGUUUUAAAAUAAGCAAGAAUUAAUUAUGUAAUUUCAAGUGAUGGAAUUUAUGGAAUUAAUUCAUAAAAAAAUAAAUUGGACUAUGGUGGAGCCCGACAUCAAAUAAAUUUUCUUUAAAAUAAAAAUGGAUUUGAAUGAAAUAUCAUGCAUACUAUCGGUGGUUAUUCAUCUUGUUUGGUGAUAUGAGUGACAUAUUUUAUAUUAAUUAAUUGUGCACUAACCUCGUUUCUUGAUAGCGCAUGGUGGCUCGUUGCCCAGGUACGCAUCCUUCCCCAUUCUAGUCAUUCUCUAUGCAUGUUUUGAUUCUCAUAUGGGCAUGAUAGUUCCGGGUAUUCAUUGAUUUCCUCAUCAAUUGCCAUGUUAGCUUCAUUUUAUUAGUAAAGACUCGUUCUUAGGGAUUUAGAGGGUGCUACGGUCUUUACUGUACCUUCCCAAUGAGUAACCUGACCCCCGAACCCGAUCCGGUUUCUCACAUACCACCUUUUCCAAAAUAAGGAGUCACACUAAGGGUUUUUCUUUCUUAUUUUGUUUACCCUUUUAAAAAUAAAACAAAAAUAAGUGGUGACUCCAAGUCAUUUUCCAAUAAAUAAAAUCAUUUUUUCAAAUAAAAAUUGAACUCGCCAUCGAGUGGAAAACGUAUGAGUCGAAAUGCGGGGUCCACAUUCUGUUAUGCCGCUUAAAUGUACUUUGUCUAGCUGAUUAUUCUUCCAUAAUUAGGGUGCAUUAGGUGGUCCACUUUAAUUGAGGCUUUAAGCUUAUCCAAGGUACCCAAAAUUAAUGCUAUCCCACUACUGUCUACUUAAGCCUUGGGCCACGUUAUUAUGGUGUAGACCCCAAAAUUUGUCCCAAUUUUAUUUUUACAUUAAUUUUGAGCUUAAUUUUAAAUCUCAAUUACAUGUGUUAUUUUAGGCCCACUCACCCGUUAAUUUUUUAUCUUUAUUAAUUUGUAAAUUAUUAUUUUUUUAUAUUUUAUUUUAUUUUAUUUAUUAUUAUCAUUAUUAUUAUUAUUAUCAUGUUUAUUAUUAUUAUUAUUAUUAUAUUAUAUUUUUAUAUUUUUAUUUUAUUUUAUUAAUUUUCUAUUUUAUUAUUUUAUUUUUUCUCUCCUCUCUCUUCCUUUUUUCUCCCCCACUUACCUUCACCUACCCACUUCUUCUCUCUUUCCUCCCACACCACCGGCCACCAUCAAAAUCUCUCGUUAUUUUAUUUUAUUUUUUAUUUAUUUUUAUUCUCUUUUCAUUUUCCCCCCAUUUUUCCCUUCCCACGCGGGGACCCCUCUAUUCUCCUUCCCCCAACUCUCUAGCCCUUUUCUCUGCCAAAAGACACCCACAUGGCUGGAUUUUUUUUUGGUCGGCUCCCUAUGUUUUUUUCUUCUUUUUUCUCUCCCCCAAGAGAACACACCCGACGGCCAUCUCCCCAGCUCCGUCCUUCCUUUUUUUUUUUUUUUCCCUUCCCAACAACACAUGUCGACCCAUUCUUUCCUCCCAUCUCUUCUUCCCCCCAACUCAUUUCUUCCAUUUUCAUUUUCAUUUAUUCAUUUACUAUUAUUAUUAUUAUUAUUUUCUCUUUCCCCCCUUAAACUCUCACAUUGCCGGCGGCGUGACGCCGGUGCCUUUUCUGGCCCCCCUCCAUUCCCAUUUUCUCCCAUUUUAUUUAUUUAUUUAUUUUUAUUUAUCUUUAUUCUAUUUUAUUUUUGUUUCCAAAAAGCUAUCCACUGCCACCGGCGAGCCCCAGUCGGCCGAUAAUCUCUUCCAUUUUUCUCUCAUCUCUCACUUUCCCGUAUCACUCAUUUUCCCUUAUUAUUGUUGUUGUUGUUGUUGUUGUUGUUGUUAUUGUUAUUAUUUUAUUUUAAUAGUAAUUGUUGUUUGUAAAAUUUGGACUGUUGAAUUAAUAUGAAAUUUAGGGUUAAUUUGUUGUUGGUAGAUUAAUAUGUAAUUUGGUUUAAUUUAUUGUUAGUGAAUUAAUUUGAAAUUUGUUAAUUUGGGUUUAUGGGUAUAUUGCAUUUGGUGAUUAAUUUGGGAUAUUUGGAUUAUAUCAAUUGCAUACUGUUUAUUUGGACUUGAGCCUAUUGUUAAUUUAUUAUUUAUUUGGGCUCGUUGGAUUGAACUUAAUACAUUAUUACCUUUGGCUAUAUAUAUUAUUAAUGUGGGCUUGUUAAUUGGAUAUUUCUUUGGACUUAUUAGAUUGGCCUUGAAAUAUUAUUUCCUUUGACCAUGUAUAUUUUUUUUUAUGUGAGCUUGUUAAUUGAUGUGAAUUUUGGGGCUCAUAAUGUAAGUGAGAUUUGUUGGAUUAUUUGAAUAUUUUAUAUGGGCUUGGCCAAUUUGAAUUAUUUAAUUUGGACAUGGGACAAUUGUGGUGUAUAUUAAAUUAGGCUUAAAUUAUGGAAUAUUAAAUUUAGGCCUAGUAGAAUUUAUUUUAAUUUAUCCAAUUUUAGGUUUGGUUGAUUGUGUUUGUAUUUUUGGUUAUUAAUUUGGAUGUUCUAGGUAAAGACCUAUAGUAAUUUGGGCUUAUUUUAAUUGGUGAAAUUUAUGGGACUAAUUUGAAAUUGGAAUUUGGGUUUCAAUAUUUGUUUGGGAUUUUGUAUAUCUCUGGAUAUUUACAUUUGUACUAUUCUUGUUUUUGCAUGGACCCACUUUGCAAUCUUGUUAGCGAAGUACGAAUUGAUGACACGUGGAGCUUGUUAUAAGUUUAUUUGAGUACAUAUUUCAUUUCCCACUUUUAUUUUAUUUUAUUUUUUAUUAGUUCGUGUAAAUAUUCGUUCGUAUGUAUUUAUUGAGUGUGUACAGAAUUGAACAUCGAACAAACUGUAAAUUUUGUUUAAAUGAGAGGAAGAAUUUAGUAAAUAUGUUUUGAUAAAACAAUAAUUUUAAAAUAUUAUUUUUAAUAAAAGAAAGUUUUUUUUUCAUUAUUUAUAAAAAUUCAGAAAAAUGCGUUUAGAAAAAUCCAAAAAAAUUGUUUUUAAUAGAAUUCGAAAAUUUUUUUAAUAACAUUGUCCAAAAAUUUCUUUGUUUAAUAAAAAUUGUCCAAAAAUUUAUUUUUGUAAUUAAAGUUGUCCCAAAAAUUAUUUUUUAAUAAAAUUGUCUAAAAAUAUAUAUAUUUUUUCAAACGAAUUCUUUUUCCUUAAUUAAAAUGAGAUUAAAAGUGUUUUUAAAAAAUAGAGGAUUUAAAUCUUUGUGUUUUUUUUAAUUAAAAUUUCUUUUGCAAAUAAAGUUAUGUCAUUUUAAAUAAUUUGUAAAAAUCUCUUCUUCUUUUUUUAAUAAAAAUGAAUCUAAAUACUUUUAUAAAUAAAAUUGUAAAAAUUCAUUAUUUUCUAGUAAAAGUAAGUAAAAAUAAUUUUUGUACCAAAAUUGAAAUUUUGUAAUAAAUUCUUUUGAUACAAUAAGUGUAAAUAGCUUUUUUUUUUUUUUUAAAUUGAAUACAAGUGAAAUUGAGAAAAUAAAUUAAUUCUUUUUGUAAGUAAAUAAAUUGAAAUCACUAAUUCAAAAUCAUUUUUAAUAAAAUCCAGCUGAAAUUUCUUUAAAACUUUUUUUUAAUAUCUUUUAUUUAUUUAAUUCAACAAAUCAUUUUGCAUAAUUCUCUUAUUAUUUAUUUUGUAUAUUUUUUGUAAUUAGAUUUCAUCAUUGUUUUAGUGUAUAUUGAUUUCUAUCAUGACUUGUACAUUGAUUAUUUUUCUUGGUAUCCAUAAUUGAUUAAUUAAUUGCCACAAUUCCCUUAAUUCGUUUAGUAGAGGCCAUAUGUAUACGGGUUUAGAGGGGUGCUGCGACUCACCACCGUACCUUCCCAAUGAGUAACCUGAUCCUUAGACCCAGACUUAGUUUUUCACAAACCUGUUUUUCCUUCAGGAGUCACACUUAGGGUUUUUUUUUCUUAUUUUAUUUUUCCCUUUAAAAAAAUAAAACAAAAAUAAGUGGUGACUCCAAGUCAUUUUCUAAUAAAUAAAAUCAUUUUAAAAUAAAAUCAAGCUCUCCAUCGAGUGGAAGUGCAUGAGUAGAAAUGCGGGGUCCACGUAUGGCUUUUUUAAUAUUCUCCAAGCCAACUGUUUCACCUAUCUUAACCCCUUUUUGUCGUCUUCAUACCAAUCGAGUUCAUGGAAUGGUUGAAAAAGGCCAAUACUUCCCCUUGGACUAGACUCUAAAUCAUAUGGUCGAAAAAGCCAUUCAGGGGACCCAAAUGACCUUCCCGUUGAAAAUUUGAAAAUGGGUAAUUAUAUUUUGGACCUAAUUGAGCUCAAAAAUGAAACUUUGGUUCAUAUAAGUUCAUUAUUUAAGCCCAAGAUCCAGAGAAAGUGUGAAAAUUGGGAAGGAGUAUAAGAAUUUUAUAUUUCCGAAAAUGACCUUUGUUGACUAUGAAAAAAGAGAGUAGAAAAUCAUUAAUUUAAAUUUUAUUUCUUUUGUAAACCUCAAUAAAAUUCAAUAUAAUUUAGUGAUUUGGAAAAAAAUACACAAUUUUCCAAAAAAAUAAAAUAAAUUAUUAUUAUUAUUAUUUAAAAAUCAAACAUUUUAGAAAAUAUAUAUUUUUGAAAUUGUGUAUAUAAAAAAUAACUAAAAAUAUGUCAAAUUUAUUUUUUUUAAAUGAUAUAUUUUUAGAAUAUAUUUUUUAAAACAUUAGUUUUUUAAAAAUAAUAAAUUUUUAGAAUAAUUAUUAAAAAAAAUUAAAAUAAAAAGGUUUGUUAAAUAUUAUGGUAGAAAAUAGUUUUGAAGAGUAUAUCGGUCUUCAUAUUUUAUAUCAUUCCCAUCAAUUAUAUAAUUUAUAAUAAUAAAGGUUAAUUUUUGGCCCAAGUCAAUAACACAAUUGUCCCAAGGUUGCCAGGUGAACAUUUAGUAUGGCGUUGCAGAAGUUGCCAUCCACCACCAUAAAGGUUAAUUUAUUUAACGUGGUGCCGUUUGAGAAAGGGCAUUGAUGUGGAGAUUGAUACGACGCGAAGGAGUGGAGCCUUAUUCACUGCUGAUGCUGGGUGGUCGGGUCACGGAUGUUAUUCACCUGAAACUGAAAGGGAGGUCUCCUAACUCACAUUAUCACACCUGCUCUCUUCCCUCUCCUCUUUCCCAAUUCCCAACCCAGAUACCCAAUAUGGUGUCCGGUUUUUUACCAAGAUAUUCUUUUUUGAAACAAUUUUCCAAUGCAAACGAACCAAGACCUAUUUUCCAAAUAAAAAUAUUUUGUUUAAUAUGAUGGUUUUUGAAACAAAUUUUUGUUUGCAAAGUCAAUUUUAUUUUUUAUCUAUUCAUUGUAUUAAUAAUUGUUCAUUAAAAUAUUAUUUGAAAAACGCUUAAAGAACAUCUCAAAUUUAUUUUUAAAAUUCAUCAUGGUUUUAAGAAUAAUUCCUGAAAAGCUAUUUUCAAUAUAAAAAUUAUCAUGCAUAUUUUUAUAGUUAAAAAUCAUAAUCCUUUUUUUUUUAUUUUAAGAUAUCUCGGGUAAGCAUAAAUGAGAUUAACCUAGUUGAAUAUGAUUUAUCCGAUAUAAUAAUUGGUACAAAAAUUAAAAAUAAUUUUUUUUAAAUAUUAGGCAUAAUAUAUUUUUAUUUUAAAAAUAUGAAAUAUCAGAAAAGAAUUAAAAAAAAAAAUUGUUAUAAAAUAUGUUAAAAUAUUAUAUUCCACCUCUCUUAAGUCUUUACCAACAAUCAUUGUGGAUGCCCAAAAUAGUCCACUUUAUUAUUAUUUAUUAUUUUUAUUUUUUGUGUUUUUAAUUCUCAUAUCAUAUUCAAAUAUGUUGUCGUUUGAAUACCUGGGGAGGUCGCUUCUAUCAUCCUUAAAGUCUAUGCAUCAGAAUUUGAAAUUUGAUUCCAUUGUUUUACUUUUAAUAAAGUAGAAAUAUGAGUCAUGGAUGUAUUGGGCAAAAAUUUCGCUUGAGGGGAGGGGAGGGAUAGGGGAAGGUGGUACGGGCAAUGCCAUUAAACUAUCAUUUCAACACAAAUUAAUUAUUCUAUAUAUAUAUAUAUGUUGUGAAUCAAAACUGGGAAAAAUCCACCUCUAUUGAUCAACAACCUUGGCUAAUAAAAUAGCCUUACAAUAACUAAUUGAUAAGAAAAAUAGCUCACGUUUUACACUAACAAAUAACGUAGUAAAGAGUAGAAAAUAAGUCAAAACUGGAAACUACCCUGCUUAAUAGGGAUUAUUAAAACAAAAAAAACUAAACAAUCAGAAACUUAAAUCUUGACAAUAUAUAUAUAUAUAUAUAUAUUAUUUUAAUUUGAAAAUUAAUAAUUAAAAAGAUUAAGCACAUUGUAGCUCUUUGGCCCUGGCUGUGUCCACGGCCUGGCCCUGCUCUCCAAUGCCGCCGCCAAUGCUUGGUCUAUGGUGAUGAUUUCUGGCUCUUGCAACUUCCAGGAGCUUGAUAAGGUGGCCGCCGUCGAGCCUUUCUCCAAGUUAUGUGCAAAAGCCACUGAUAUUAAUUUCCCAAAUACCUAAGAGCCCUUUUAAAGUCCUGAUCAAGCUCUUUCUGGUCGGCCCGAUGGUUGUUACUUGGAUCUUCCAAAUGAUAUUCUCCACCAAACUGUUUCUCAAUCCGAGGCCGAGAGUCUGUCGGAUGCUGUUGAGGACAAAGCCACAAUUGUGUCAUCCAAUAAAUGUUGUUCUUUUCUAUUUUUCAUAAUAAAACAAGGGAAAAUCAUCUAAUCAUACACUAAAUACAAAAAAUAUGAGAUUUUGGAAUUUUACCAUUUUCUUUUUAAUUUUGGUGUAAAAUGGAAAAAAGUAUUGUCUAUUCAUGCACUCCAAUAGUGCUUUCAAAUUUGUUUCACAAUUACCCUUAAAAGUAAAGGAAAAAGUAUAAACCAAUUUAAUACCACAUGUUAACAAGUACACGUGUCAUUUAUUUUUAUUAUUUUUCUCACAUCAACAUAUUUCCCUUACCACUCGUCACGUUUCUUUUUUUUUUUUUUCUUCUUCUUCUGCCACCAUAAUCCAUUGUCACCUAUUAUAGUUUUUAUUAUUCAUUUUUUCCCUUUAUAUUGUUUUUAAUAUGCUCGUGUAUUUUCUCAUUAAACUUCUUUAAUCUUAAUUUAUUUUUACUCUCUAAUUUGUCUAUAUUUAUUGAUUUUAAUUAUUUUUUUGACAUAUUAAACUUAAAAUGAUAAUAUAUAAUAAAUAAUUAAUAUAACAAAUUAAAUAAAGACAAAAUAUAUAAUGGACAAAAAUAAAAGUAUUAUCCCACAAAUAAUAAUGAUUUUAAAUAUUAAUUAUAAUAAUACAUUUUAUAAAUUAAGGUUUAAAUUUAAAAUUUCCAUUUUAUUAUUCAGAAGUUUAUGAUAUAAGAUUUUUUUAUAUUAAUACUAAACAAAAGAUUUAUUUAUUUUGUAAAUUCUAUCACAUGUAAAAGUAAAAAUAUCAUUGUAAUACUAUUUUAUUAUUUACAUUAUUUUUCUUUUAAUUUUCAUUUUAAAUUUAUCAUAUAAAAAUCACAAUAAGUGAUGGUGCUUUUAUCAUUUUUCUUAUAAUUUUAAAUUGUUGUGGAUCUAAACUUUUUUUUGGUUAAUCUUUAAUUUUUAAUUAAAAUAAAAUAUAAAAGAAAAUAUAUUUUUCAUAAAAAAUUGUAUUUAGCCUUUUAUAUUAAUUUCAUAAAAAAUAGGCACAUCCUUAAAAAAAAAAAAGGUAAAUUAAUGUUUAGGAGAACCGGAAAAACUAUCAUACUUAUCAUGGUGUAUAUAUUCCUUUGGGACCCUCGAUAAGUAAUUGGAGGUCUUUGCUCACCCCAAAAAGAACUUUGGGAUCAUAGGUAUAUCCAUUCUUAGAGGGGACCCCAAUUUUCAUUUUCAUGGUUUAUAUAUUCCUUGGGGGAGCCUUGAGAAAGAAUUAGAGGUUAUUCCCCACUCUAAAAUGGACAUUGGAACCCAAGGUACAUCCUAAAGACAAUUUGGUACAUCAUUUAUAAAAUUUGGUACAUAUUUAAUAAAAUUUGGCAUAUCCUUAAAAAAAUUUUGUACAUCCAAUCCAUGAGCUACCAGGACCUCUAUAUUAUUACCCGUGGUUCGUUUAUUUCUUUAGGGAUCUUUAGGAAGUAAUUAAAGGUCAUUCCCUACUCCGAAACGAACUUUGGAACCCUAGGUAUAUCCUUAAGGAGAUUUGGUGCAUCGUUAAGAAAUUUUGGUACAUCCAAUCCUCGGGCUAUCGAGACCCCUAUCUAUCUUCUGAUGGUCCAUAUUAUCCUUUGAGGAUCCUUAGGUAGUGAUUGAAGGUCAUUACCCACAUCAAAAUGAACUUUGGCACUUUUGGUACAUCCUUUACAAAAUUUGGUACAUCCUUAAAAAUAUUUGGUACAUGCUUAAGCUAUUGAAACCUCUAUCUUAUUACCCAUGGUCUGUUUAUUCCUUUAAGGAUCUCUGGGAAGUGAUUGGAGAUCAUUCCCUACUCCGAAAUGGACUUUGGAACCCUAGGUACAUCAUUGAGAAAAUUUGAUACAUCAAAUCCUUGAGCUAACGGAACACUUAUCUCCAUUUCCAUAGUCCAUUUUUUCCUUUGGAGACCCUUAGGAAGUUAUUGAAGGUCGUUCCCUACCUCAUAAUGGACUUUGGAAACAUUGGUACAUCAUUUACAAAAUUUGGUACAUUCUUCACAAAAUUUGGUACAUUAUGAAGGAUGUAUCAAAUUUUGUUAAGAAUGUACCAAAGGUUCCAAAGUGCAUUCCAAGGUGGGGAUCGGCCCCUAAUCACUUCCUUAUGGGUUCCAAAAUGAAAUCAUGUACCAUCCAUGUUCAAAUGGGGGACCUGAAAACAAUAAGAUCGAAUGAACCAAAUUUAAUGAAGGAUGUACCAAAUUUUGUGAAGUUUGUACCAAGCGUUCCAAAGUGCGUUCCGAGGUGGGGAUCGGCCCCUAAUAACUUCCUUAUGGGUUCCAAAAUGAAAUCAUGGAUCAUUCAUGUUCAGAUGGUGGUCCUAGAAACAAUAGGAUCGGAUGUACCAAAUUUAAUGAAAGAUGUACCAAAUUUUGUGAAGGACGUACCAAGGGUUCCAAAGUGCGUUCCGAGGUAAGAAUCGGCCCCCAAUCAGUUCCUUAUGGGUUCCAAAAUGAAAUCAUGAACCAUCCAUGUUCUGAUGGGGGACCCGGAAGCAAUAGGAUCGGAUGUACCAAAUUUAAUGAAAGAUAUACAAAAUUUUGUGAAGGGUGUAUCAAAUUUUGUCAAGGAUGUACCAAGGGUUCCAAAGUGUGUUCUGAGGUGGGGAUCAACCCCCAAUCACUUCCUUAUGGGUUCCAAAAUGAAAUCAUGGAUCAUCCAUGUUCAGAUGGGGGACUUGUAAACAAUAGGAUCGGAUGUACCAAAUUUAAUGAAGGAUGUACCAAAUUUUAUGAAGGAUGUACCAAACGUUCCAAAGUGCGUUCCGAGGUAGGGAUCAACCCCCAAUCACUUCCUUAUGGGUUCCAAAAUGAAAUCAUGGAUCAUCCAUGUUCAAAUGGGGGUCUCAGAAACAAUAAGAUCGGAUGUACCAAAUUUAAUGAAGGAUGUACCAAAUUUUGUGAAGGAUGUACCAAGGGUUCCAAAGUGCGUUCCAAGGUGGCAAUUGGCUCCCAAUCACUUCCUUAUGGGUUCCAAAGUGAAAUCAUGGACCAUCCAUGUUCAGAUGGGGAACCCGAAAAUAAUAGGACCUAAUGUACCAAAUUUAAUGAAGGGUGCACCCCUACUUUGCCUUCUGCAUGUAGCAUAGUAAUAUAAUGUCAUUCACACAUAGGCAUUCCUUUCAAAUGGAAGGUGCACCCCUAGAUUGCCUUCUGCACAUAACAUACAAAACUAAUGUUAUUGUAUAAAAAAAUUCCUUUGAUUCUAAGGGUAUAAUGUAAAUGUUCGAAUGUCUUCCCAAGGUGUUAAUGGGUCAACCUCCCUUUUACUGACUCCUCACAUAACACGAAUCAAAUCCCCACCUCAACGAUUUGGCACAUUCUUCACAAAAUUUGGUACAUCCUUCAUUGAAUUUGGUACAUCCAAUCCUAUCGCUUUCGAGACCACCAUCUGAACAUGAAUGAUCCAUGAUUUCAUUUUGAAACCCAUAAGGAAGUUAUUGGGGGCCGAUCCCCACCUCGGAAUGCACUUUGGAACCUUUGGUACAUCCUUCACAAAAUUUGGUACAUCCUUCAUUAAAUUUGGUACAUCCGAUCUUAUCACUUUCGGGAUCCCCAUCUGAACAUGGAUUGUCCAUAAUUUCAUUUAGAAACCCAUAAGAAAGUGAUUGGGGGCCGAUCCCCACCUCGGAAAGCACUUUGGAACCCUUGGUCCGUCCUUCCCAAAAUUUGGUACAUCCGAUCCUAUUGCUUAUGGGACCCCUAUCUGAACAUGGAUGGUCCAUGAUUUCAUUUUGGAAUCCAUAAGGAAGUGAUUGGGGGUUGAUCCCUACCUCAGAACGCACUUUGGAACGCUUGGUACAUCAUUCACAAAAUUUGGUACAUUCUUCAUUAAAUUUGGUAUAUCCAAUCCUAUCGUUUUCAAGUCCCCCAUCUAAACAUGGAUGGUCCAUGAUUUCAAUUUGGAACCCAUAAGGAAGUGAUUGGGGGUUGAUCCCCACCUUGGAAUGCACUUUGGAACCCUUGGUACAUCCUUCACAAAAUUUGGUACAACCUUCAUUAAAUUUGGUACAUCCGAUACUAUUGCUUUCGCGACCCCCAUUUGAACAUGGAUGGUCCAUGAUUUCUUUUUGGAACCCAUAAGGAAGUGAUUGGGGGUCGAUCCCCACCUCGGAACACACUUUGGAGCCGUUGGUACAUCGUUCACAAAAUUUGGUACAUCCUUCACAAAAUUUGGUAGAUCCUUCAUUAAAUUUGGUACAUCCGAUCCUAUUGCUUCCGAGACUCCCAUCUAAACAUGGAUGAUCCAUAAUUUCAUUUUGGAACCCAUAAAAAAGUGAUUAGGGGCCGAUCCUCACGUUGGAAUGCACUUUGGAACCCUUGGCACAUCCUUCACAAAAUUUGGUACAUCCUUCAUUAAAUUUGGUACAUCCGAUCUUAUUGUUUCCAUGACCCCCAUCUGAACAUGGAUGGUCCGUGAUUUCAUUUUGGAACCCAUAAGGAAGUUAUUGGGGGUCGAUCCCUACCUCAGAACGUACUUUCGAAUGCUUGGUACAUCCUUCACAAAAUUUGGUACAACCUUCAUUAAAUUUGGUACAUCUGAUCCUUUUGUUUCCGGGUCCCCCAUUUGAACAUGGAUGGUCCAUGAUUUCAUUUUGGAACCCAUAGGGAAGUGAUUGGGGGUUGAUCCCCACCUUGGAAUGCACUCUGGAAUCCUUGGUACAUUCUUCACAAAAUUUGGUACAUCUUUCAUUAAAUUUGGUACAUCCGAUGUUUUUGCUUUUGGGACCCCCAUCUAAACAUGGAUGGUCCAUGAUUUUAUUUUGGAACCCAGAAGGAAGUGAUUGGAGGCCGAUCCCCACCUUGGAAAUCAUUUUGGAACCCUUGGUACAUCCUUCACAAAAUUUGGUAAAUCCUUCUAUUGCUUUCGGGUUCCCCAUCUGAACAUGGAUGGUCUAUGAUUUCAUUUUGGAACCCAUAAGGAAGUGAUUAGGGGCCGAUCCCCACCUUGUAACGUAGCUUGGAACGCUUGGUACAUCUUUUACAAAAUUUGGUACAUUCUUCAUUAAAUUUGGUACAUCCGAUCCUAUUGUUUUCGGGAUCCCCAUCUAAACAUGGAUGGUCCAUGAUUUCAUUUUGGAAGCCAUAAGGAAGUGAUUUGGGGCCGAUCCCCACCUCAGAACGCACUUUGGAACCCUUGGUACACCCUUCCCAAAAUUUGGUACAUUCUUCAUUAAAUUUGGUACAUUCAAUCCUAUUAUUUCCGGGACCCCUAUCUGAACAUGGAUGGUCCAUGAUUUCAUUUUGGAAGCCAUAAGGAAAUGAAUGGGGGCCGAUCCCCACCUCAUAACGCACUUUGGAACGCUUGGUACAUCCUUCAUUAAAUUUGGUACAUCCGAUCCUAUUGUUUUCGGGUCCCCCAAUUGAACAUGGAUGGUACAUGAUUUCAUUUUGGAACCCAUAAGGAAGUGAUUGGGGGUCGAUCCCCACCUUGGAAUGCACUUUGGAACUCUUGGUACAUCGUUCACAAAAUUUGGUACAUCCUUCAUAAUGUACCAAAUUUUGUGAAGGAUGUACCAAAUUUUGUAAAUGAUGUACCCAAUUUUUGAAAUGAUGUACCAAUGUUGCCAAAGUCCGUUAUGAGGUUGGGAAUGACCUUUAAUAACUUCCUGAGAGUCUCCAAAGAAAGAAAUGGACUAUGGAAAUGGAGAUAAGUGUUCCAUUAGCUCAAGGAUUGGAUGUAUCGAAUUUUCUCAAUGAUGUACCUAGGGUUCCAAAGUCCAUUUUAGUGUAGGAAACAAUCUCCAAUCACUUCCCAAAGAUCCCUAAAGGAAUAAACGGACCAUGGGUAAUAAGAUAGACGUUUCAAUAGCUCAAGUAUGUACCAAAUAUUUUUAAGGAUGUACCAAAUUUUGUAAAGGAUAUACCAAGGUGCCAAAGUUCGUUCCGAUGUGGGGAAUGACCUUCAAUCACUACCUAAGGGUCUUCAAAGCACUAGAAGAAAAAAGGUCAUUGUUGACAUAUAUUAUCUUGACUUAAGGUGAUAUGUGUCAAUAUUGCCUAAUUAAAUGAACAACUAUGACAUAUACAACUUGUUUAAACCAAUAAUGACAUAUAUAAAAUUUUGUUGAAUUCUUUUAUGACUUAUAUAAUAGAAUCUUGACAGAUAAUUUAUGAGUCAAUGUAUAGUUAGUAUCUUCAUAUGUCAAGGUACUUAUAUAAUGUGGCUAGCUUGACAUAAAAUCAAAAGUCAAGGUACGAUUUUAAACAUAUAUGCCAUUUUAAUUCUAGUAAAAUGAUCUUAAAUGACCUAUGGAUUAUAAGUCAAGAUAUCAUGUUAUAAUUACUUGUCAAGGUUCCCUGUGGUAUUUACAAAGAACACUCCUCAUUUUCUCAAAACCCGAUAUUCAUUUUGAGAGCUUAGGGUUUGAAACUUUUUGCUCUAAACCAAGGAUGAAAAUAUCGGUAAUUACGAAUAUAUCAAUACUUCGAUAUUACAGAUAUAUCAAAAAUAUCGGAAAAAUAUCGGUGGAUAUUUUUUUACAAAUAUCGGUGGAGCGAAAAUUAUUUAAAAUUUAUAGGAAUGCUUGGAAAAACUCCAAAAAAUGAUAAAAUAAGUAAGAAUUCAUAUUUUAAAGUUAUUUUGUAAAUAUAAUUGAUAUAAAUAUAUCAAAAACAAAAACAUCCGUAGAUAGAGAUAUAUCAAUAAAUUUGAUAUUUGAAUUUUAAGAAUAAUAAAUAUGAAUUUUGGAAGUUUAUAAAGUUAGAAUUGAGUUAAGAAAUAUUUGACUUUAUUGAAUAAAAAUAAUUUAUAUAUAAAUAUAAUACAUAUGACAUUGCAAUAGUCUUAGUAUCAAAAUGAAGAUUGAUGUGGUUCCACCAUAUUGUUAGAUGAAGGGAGCCCAUCUUGUUGAAGACAAUAUUUAUUUAAAAAUUUUUAAAAUAUUUUUAUUAAAACACGUUUUAUUAUAUUUUAAAUGAAAAAUUAAAUUAAUUUAUAUAAAAUAUUUUAUUUGAGAUUUAAUUUCUAAAAUUUUAUUAAAAAUAUGUGGUAACAACUUUUUCUAUUAAUAUUAAUUUAUUUAAAUAAUUAAGAUUAUUAAUAAUUUAUUUUAUCAAAUUAAUUUUAAUUCAUAAAAUAUCAUCCAUAAAAACGGAAAUUUCAAUGUGAUUUAAUCAAAAUAAAGAUGGGUAACUAAUAAUUAUUUAUAUAGAGAGAGGAAACUUGUUCUCAUUUUUUAUUAUUUUUAUCUCUACUAACUAUAAAAAUCAAAAGGGCCACCGCUUCUCUCACUUGGGGCCUCGGGCAUCAAGAAGCCCUUUUCUAAAGUUGCUCUCGAGACGAGAGAAUCCGCCCUUCUCUGUGACUCUCAAUCCUCAUAGGUACUAAUUAUCGUUUUUUUUUUUUGCAACCCCCGUUUGAUUCCCAAGAAAAUCCAUUCCCCAUUCGAUUUUUGGGAAAAUUCAUCCUUGUUUGAUUUUCGAGAAAAUCCAUGCAAAACCCCUAAGGAAAACCACAAAAAUUGCUUUGUUUUUUUUUUGCUCCCUGUGUUUUCUCUUUGCAAAACCCCCAUUUGAUUCCUAAGAAAAUCCAUCCCCCAUUCGAUUUCCGGCAAAGUUCAUCCUCGUUCGAUUUCCGAGAAAAUCCAUGCAAAACCCCUAAGGAAAACAAAAAAAAUUGCAUUUUUUUUUGCUUCCUGUGUUUUCUCUUUGCAAAACCCCCAUUUGAUUCCUAAUAAAAUCCUUUCCUCAUUCGAUUUAUGGGAAAAUUCAUCAUCGUUUGAUUUCCGAUAAAAUCCAUGUAAAACCCUUAAGGAAAACAAAAAAAAAUUGCUUUUUUUUCUUUGCUCCCUAUGUUUUCUCUUUGCAAAACCCCCGUUUGAUUCCCAAGAAAAUCCAUUCCCCAUUUGAUUUACAAGAAAAUUCAUCCUCGUUUGAUUUCCGAGAAAAUCCAUGCAAAACCCCCAAAGAAAACCGAAAAAAUUGUUUUUUUAUUUUUUUUUUUGCUCCUUGUGUUUUUUUGGAUCUGUUCUAGGGGUCUCUUUUGCUUUUGUGCCAUUGGAUUUAAAUUUCACGAACCCCAAAUCCACUAUUUUUGAGCCAGGCUAAAAAACACAACUUUUGCCUGCAAAUCAUGAUUAGAUUACCAAAUAGCAUCUUAUGUUUUUUUUUUUUUUUUUUUAAAAAAAAAAAAAACUAGACAGAUUUUGUAUCCUAUGUGCGGGCUGGACUAGUGGGAAAUAUUGGGAAAUUUCUUGAAAAAUCGGUAAAAAUACCGAUAAAUACAUGUUUGUUGGGUUUCAAAUCAAAUGGGUUCUUCUUCUCUAGGCACUUAAUUUUGUGGCUUUGAAUGGGUCUUUGCCUCUUUCAAUCGAUUAAAUGAAGGUGUGGAAAUGGUAAUAUUUCAUCUUUUUAUUUGUUCUUGUUAGUUAAAUUCUAAUAAUCUAUUUUCCUAUUUUGGUCAUGUAGAACAUCAUUGAAUCAAGAUUAUGUUGAUUUUGGUUUCACCUACAUUAACCUUGAGAUAAAAAACCUCAAAUUUUCCACAUAUUAGAUCUUUAGUUACUGGGUAUGUUCUGGUUUGCUUUGUGAUUUAUUGAAGAAAAAGUGUGGAUUGUGUGAUGGUUGAAAUAUUUAGUUAUUGGGGUUUUUUGGUUCUGAGUCUCAAAUGGACUUGUCAAGUUGUAAGCAUUUGAGAUUCUUUGGCUACCAUUUGAAUUCUAGACAUACAAAUGUCUUGCUCUGGUUUUUGGUUUUUAGAGUUGUUUUGCUCCCCACAUUCUUUGGCUUUGGUGGGGUUGUUCAUAACAACUUUUUGGUGAUCAACAAUAGUUCAUUAUCCUCAAAUUCCAAGCUCCAAAUGUGGAAAGACAAGUUCUUGGAGGUUCCUUAGAUUUUAUAAGGAUAAGUUCUUUUUGUAUAGAAAAAUAAUUAUAAAAAAAACCUUAAAUGAGUAGUUUUAGAUGAAACCAGAUAUAGUUUGCAUUUACAUAAAUUUGGAGUUGUUAUACUUCUUGCUAAAUUUGUUCAUUUAUUUUUCCUAUCCUCAUUCAAUAUGAUGUCAUAUUUAUUUUUUUUCAUGUACCUUUCUAUAGAGCUUGGUAAACUAUAGUUGGUUGUAUUGUCAUUUUUUUCUUGGUCUUUCUAAGCAACCAAAUGAAGCAUUUGUGCAUGAUUUGUAGGCUAUCUUUGACUUGUAUAGUUUGAUGGAAACCUUGGACAUUUCAGGGAAAGUGUUAGGUUAAAAAAUCGUAAUAAUGAUCUAAAGAGUUAAAUAUCUUGGUUGAAGUUGGAUCAAAACAAUAACUUCAUUAGGUUAAAAUGAUUUAUGUUUUAGGUUUUGCUCCUAGGUUUAGCCUUCAUAUGUUUUUGCUAUAUCAAUAUUUUAAUAUUUGAGAGUUGGUUUGUUUACCUGUGUUAUUAAGAAAUAAUCUAUUAUUGUCUAAUAAAGGUGUAGUGUCUAGCUUGCUAUUAAAAUUCUUCAUAAAGCUUGAUAUUUGAUUGCUCCUCAUUAUACAUUUUUCUUUUUAAUUUGUUAAUAUGCUCUAUAUUUUUUGCUACAGAUUCAAAGUUUGGGUGUUGGAAAUUUAAGGUUUUCCUAUAAAGUAAUGCUUCAAGAUGGAGGCAAGAGACUUGGUUGUAGAUAUAUACAUGAGCAACUUAAUUUAAGUUUAUGUAUAUUGUCUUAUAGUAUGUUUUUAAUUUCGUUGUAUAUUAUAUGAGUUUCUUCUAUAUAGAGAAAUUGGGGACAACUUUAAACAAGUUCAUUGAUUUGUGCUUUAAUUAAUAAUUAAAUGCAUAUUAAAUAUGUUUUGAUUAUAUAUAAAAUCAUGAUAAUUUGAUUGUCAUUAUCAUUCUUAAAUAAUAUCAAAUUGAUUGUACAUGGCAACAGGUUCAAUUUUUCAUAUUAAAAAAUAAUUUUAAAAUUUUUUGAGGGGAACCUUGACAGUUGUACUUAUUCCCUACAUUGACAUAUAUAAGCCAAUUAUGAUAUAUAUAAAAUCUAACCUUGACAUAUGUAUCUAAAAGCCUUGAUAUAUGUGGGGUUAAUCAUGACAUAUAUGAUACCUAACCUUGACAUUUGUUGGACUAAUCUUAACAAAAGAGUGAGUUAACAUUGACAUAAGAUUAAGUAAUCUUGAUAUAAGUUGAAUCCAACCUUAACAUAUAUGAAAGAAAUAUUGACAUAUCAUAUACUAAUAAGAUUUCAUCAUUUGUAAAAAUAGAGAAAAUCUUAACAUAUGUAUAUGUCAAGUUACCUUUAAACUUUUCUUGUCACUAGCAUAGAUAACAUAUAUGAACAAUAACCUACCUUCACAGAUAUACCUUACAUUGACAGUGAAAAACUGUCAACGAAGGCUUUUUUAAUUUCUUGUAGUGAAGGAUAAUAUGGACCAUGGGAAGAUAGAUAGGGGUCUCGAUAGCCCAAUGAUUGGAUGUACCAAAAUUUCUUAACAAUGUACCAAAUUUCCUUAAGGAUGUACCUAGGGUUCAAAAGUUCGUUUUGGAGUAGGGAACGACCUCUAAUUACUUCCUAAAGAUCCCUAAAGAAAUAAACGAACCACGGGUAAUAAUAUAGAGGUCUUGGUAGCUCAUGGAUUGGAUGUACAAAAUUGUUUUAAGGAUAUGCCAAAUUUUAUGAAUUAUGUACCAAACUUUAUAAAUGAUUUACCAAAUUGUCUUUAGGAUGUAUCUUAGGUUCCAAUGUUCGUUUUAGGGUGGGGAAUAACCUCUAAUUCUUUCUCAAGGGUCUCUAAAGGAAUAUAUGAACCAUGGAAAUGAAAAUAGGGGUCUUGGUUCCUCUAAGAAUGGAUAUACUAGGAUCCCAAAGUUCUUUUUGGGAUGGGCAAUUGAGGGUCCCAAAGGAAUAUAUACACCAUGAUAAAUAUGAUAGUGUUUCCGGUUUUCCUAAGCAUUAAUUUACCUAUUAUUUUUAAGGAUGUACCUAUUUUUUAUGAAAUUAAUAUAUAAAGUUAAAUACAAUUUUUUAUGAAAAAUAUGUUUUCUUUUAUAUUUUAUUUUAAUUCAAAAUUAAAGAUUUUAACCAAAAAAAGUUAGAUCCAUUUAAAAUUAUAAGAAAAAUGAUAAAAACACCAUCACUUAUUGUGAUUUUGAUAUGAUAAAUUUAAAAUGAAAAUUAAAAGAAAAAUAAUGUAAAUAAUAAAAUAGUGUUACAAUGAUAUUUUUACUUUUACAUGUGAUGGAAUUUACAAAAUAAAUAAAUCUUUUGUUUAGUAUUAAUAUAAAAAAUCUUAUAUCAUAAACUUCUAAGUAAUAAAAUGAAAAUUUUAAAUUUAAACCUUAAUUUAUAAAAUGUAUUAUUAUAAUUAAUAUUUAAAAUCAUUACUAUUUGUGGGAUAAUAUUUUCAUUUUUGUCCAUUAUAUAUUUUGUUUUUAUUUAAUUUGUUAUAUUAAUUAUUUAUUAUAUAUUAUCAUUUUAAGUUUAAUAUGUCAAAAAAAUAAUUAAAAUCAAUAAAUAUAGACAAAUUAGAGAGCAAAAAUAAAUUUAAAUUAAAGAAGUUUUAUGAGAAAAUGCACGACCAUAUUAAAAAGAAUAUACAAGAAAAAAAUGAUAAAAAUUAUAAUAGGUGACAAUGGAUUAUGGUGGCAGAAGAGGAAAAAAAAAAGAAAAAAGAAAAAAGUGGAAACGUAACAAGUGGUAAGGGAGAUAUAUUGAUGUGAGAAAAAUAAUAAAAAUAAAUAACACAUGUACUUGUUAACAGGUGGUAUUAAAUUGGUGUGUACUUUGUCAUUUACUUUUGAGGGUAAUUGUAAAAAAAAUUUGAAAGCAUUAUUGGAGUGCAUGAAUAAAUAAUAUUUUUUUUUCCCAUUUUAUACCAAAAUUAAAAAGAAAUAAGUAAAGUUCCAAAAUCUCAUAUUUUUUGUAGUUGGUGUAUGGUUAGAUGAUUUCCUCCCUUUUUUUUUUCUUUCUAAGAUGGUUUCCUUUUCCUUGAUUUUUUUUUUCUUUUUUAAUUGCCUCUUUGGGUUAUUUGAUUACAUGCAUUUUUGGGUGCGAUUUCUUGUGUAGAUGCUGUAGGUUGUUCAUUAGUGGGCUUCUUUAUUAUAUACGAUUAUAAAGUCCAGUAGUGAGUAUAAUAGUCGUUAUCCUUGCCUUUUUGUGAGCUAUUAUUUCAGAACAAUGCUCCAAAAUUUGGGACCAGACCCAGAUAUAUUCCGUACUAUGAAUGGUGUUUGUCUUCUGUGCCUUUGAAAUUUUAGUUAUAUACCUAAGAAGGGACGAACUAAUUAAUUUUAGUUAAAAAUUAAAGGUCUAAACGCUGUGUUCGGAAUUGACCUACAAAAUUUCUUCUUUUCACACGGUAUUUAAACUCUAGAAUUUUGGAAUUGCAUUUAAGAAUUCAAAUGAGAUCCUUCUAUUAACCUAGUCGUGCACCAGGAAAGCACGUGCUUCCGUCCAACAGUAUCCUAAUUAUAUUGCAUGUUGAUGCUUGUGCCCCUUAGUAGUUGACUUUGGAGGGAAUUCGGAAUAUCUUAAGAUUUACUUAGAGUAUGUUUGAUAGUAAUUUUAAGAAGUAUUUUCAACAUUUAUAAUAAUUGAAAAUUUUCAUUCUUCAAGUAUUAAAAAUAUUAUAAAUACUUCUAUAAUUAUUGCUAAACGCACUCUUAAUGGAGGGGCAGAAGGCAGCUACUGGUGCACUUGGGCUAUCCGCAGACUUUGAUGCUAAUCUUCCAAAAAUCACUGUUAGUUUAUUGUCCUUUAUAUUUUGUGAAGUUGAAAAUCUAGCAAUUAACCACCAUCGAUUAACAUAGAGCCUCAUAACUAAUAGAAUUUAUAAUUUUAAUUACCCAAAAAAAGGGCCAUUUGCAGAUGUAGUUAGACCUAGCUCAUUUAUGCAGAAUAUUGCUACAAAGGCAUCAACAGUUGUCUUGGAGCUCUUAGCAAUAAGAUGGAAGUUCUAGCCUUCCUUUUAGUGAAAGAAUGAGACAGCAUUAUCAAAUUAAAAAUCAAUUUAACCCCAUAUAGUAGUCUUCCCACAAUGGUUAUAAACCAUUAUUUUCUUGUAUCUUUUGGAAUAGUGUAGAAUAAUGAUUUGAUAUUGGGUGUUCAUCAGUCUAAUAUAUGGAGAUGGAUUUAGGUUAUGAUGUUGGCCUAGCUAAUUAAUUUGCUAGUUUGCUUUGUUAAUGAAUUCAGCCCUUUGUUAAGAGAAUUGCAAUCUCCGUUACUCGGAAUAUCCAAAGAGAGAAACAAGGUCUAAUUGAAGAACAAGAAAGGUACAACUUAUUAAUAGGCCGGGCAUGAUCCAUGCUAAACCUCACAUGAUGGAGCAAUUAGGUUCAUCUGCGUAGCCCAUGCUAGCAAUUAAAACCUGUUGGCUUUGACAACAAGUCUUCGGAGCUGGCUUCGGAUCUGGCUUUGGCUUUUCCUUUACUUCUUCCACGCUUACAAUAGUCGCAUACCCAAGCUUCUUCCCCAGGCAGUG